UUGAAAAAUUAGCGGAUGACUUGUGGCUGGGGGUGAAAGGCCAAUCAAACCGGGAGAUAGCUGGUUCUCCCCGAAAUCUAUUUAGGUAGAGCCUCGGACGAAUUCCAUUGGGGGUAGAGCACUGUUAAGGCUAGGGGGUCAUCCCGACUUACCAACCCUUUGCAAACUCCGAAUACCAAAGAGAACUAUCCGGGAGACACACGGCGGGUGCUAACGUCCGUCGUGAAGAGGGAAACAACCCAGACCGCCAGCUAAGGUCCCAAAAUAUUGCUAAGUGGGAAACGAUGUGGGAAGGCCCAGACAGCUAGGAGGUUGGCUUAGAAGCAGCCACCCUUUAAAGAAAGCGUAAUAGCUCACUAGUCGAGUCGGCCUGCGCGGAAGAUGUAACGGGGCUAAGCAAUAUACCGAAGCUGCGGCAGCAAGUUUACUUGCUGGGUAGGGGAGCGUUCUGUAAGCCGCUGAAGCUGGACUGUGAAGUCUGGUGGAGGUAUCAGAAGUGCGAAUGCUGACAUGAGUAACGAUAAUGCGGGUGAAAAACCCGCACGCCGGAAGACCAAGGUUUCCUGUCCCAUGCUAAUCAGGGCAGGGUAAGUCGGCCCCUAAGGCGAGGCAGAAAUGCGUAGUCGAUGGGAAACGGGUUAAUAUUCCCGUACUUAUAUAAUCAGUGAUGGAGGGACGGAGAAGGCUAAGCAAGCUUGGCGUUGGUUGUCCAAGUGAAAGCGAGUAGGCUGAGGACUUAGGUAAAUCCGGGUUCUUAAGGCUGAGACGUGAGACGAGCCACCAAGGUGGUGAAGUUGUUGAUGCCCUGCUUCCAGGAAAAGCUUCUAAACUUAUGAUUAUGUAAACCGUACCCCAAACCGACACAGGUGGUCAGGUAGAGAAUACUAAGGCGCUUGAGAGAACUCGGGUAAAGGAACUCGGCAAAAUUGUACCGUAACUUCGGGAGAAGGUACGCCCCUGAUUGUGAUAGGACUUGCUCCUUAAGCAGUCGGGGGUCGCAGUGACCAGGUGGCUGGGACUGUUUAUUAAAAACACAGCACUCUGCAAACUCGAAAGAGGACGUAUAGGGUGUGACACCUGCCCGGUGCCGGAAGGUUAAUUGAUGGGGUUAGCGUAAGCGAAGCUCUUGAUCGAAGCCCCGGUAAACGGCGGCCG
rnacentral:rRNA from 1 species